rnacentral:rRNA from 1 species
AUGACGACCAUGAACAAGACUAUUUGGAAGGUUUGGGCACCUCCCAAGGUCAAGUUCUUCUCUUGGUUAGCGAUUCAAAACAGGAUAUGGAUGACAGAUAGAUUGGAGAAGCGAAGUUGGGAGAAUUGCCGGCUAUGCACCCUCUGCAGAAGGGCAAACGAGACGUCCGCGCACCUCUUCUUUCGGUGCAGGUUCACCUUGCGCGUAUGGAGAUUGGUAAAGGAGUGGCUUGGCCUAGGGGCUCUCGAGAUCCAUCAAUGGCAGGCGGAGCGCAGCAUCAAACAUUGGUGGACAAACAUGUCGAAGCCCAAUACGACGAACCGGAAGGCCAUGGCUUCUCUUACUAUGCUUGUCGGUUGGGCCAUCUGGAAUGAGAGGAACGCUAGAGUUUUUAGGAAGAAAUCAACACCCCCCUUCUACAUUCUAAAACUAAUCCAAGAUGAAGCCAAACUUUGGGUCAGGCAGGAGCUACGCACCUGA